rnacentral:rRNA from 1 species
GACUAAAACUUCGGUGCCUCAAGAGGGGCCUGCGGGCUAUCAGCUUGUUGGUGGGGUAAUGGCCUACCAAGGCUAAGACGGCUAGGGGGCGUGAGAGCGCGACCCCCCACAAUGGAACUGAGACACGGUCCAUACUCCUACGGGAGGCAGCAGUGAGGAAUAUUGCGCAAUGGGGGAAACCCUGACGCAGCAACGCCGCGUGAACGAUGAAGGCCUUCGGGUCGUAAAGUUCUUUUCUAAGGGAAGAUAGUGACGGUACCUUAGGAAUAAGUCCCGGCUAACUACGUGCCAGCAGCCGCGGUAAAACGUAGGGGGCGAGCGUUAUCCGGAUUUAUUGGGCGUAAAGCGCACGUAGGUGGCGCUGUAAGUUAGACGUGAAAGCUCUCGGCUCAACUGAGAGAGGUCGUUUAAAACUGCAGCGCUUGAGGUUAGAAGAGGAGAGCAGAAUUCCCGGUGUAGUGGUGGAAUGCGUAGAUAUCGGGAGGAAUACCAGUGGCGAAGGCGGCUCUCUAGUCUACACCUGACACUGAGGUGCGAAAGCGUGGGUAGCGAACGGGAUUAGAUACCCCGGUAGUCCACGCUGUAAACGAUGGAUACUAGGUGUAGGGGGUCAUUUAACCCCUCUGUGCCGAAGCAAACGCGUUAAGUAUCCCGCCUGGGGACUACGGCCGCAAGGUUAAAACUCAAAGGAAUUGACGGGGGCCCGCACAAGCAGCGGAGCGUGUGGUUUAAUUCGAUGAUACGCGAAGAACCUUACCUGGGCUGAACUACGUGGUAGUAGUGAAGCGAAAGCGGAUCGACCCUUCGGGGAGCCUCGAUAGGUGCUGCAUGGCUGUCGCCAGCUCGUGUCGUGAGAUGUUGGGUUAAGUCCCGCAACGAGCGCAACCCUCGUCGCUAGUUACAAGUGUCUAGCGAGACUGCCGGUAUCAAACCGGAGGAAGGUGGGGAUGACGUCAAGUCAGCAUGGUCUUUAUGUCCAGGGCUACACACACGCUACAAU